rnacentral:rRNA from 1 species
CGUAGGGGGCAAGCGUUGUCCGGAUUUAUUGGGCGUAAAGAGCGUGUAGGCGGCCAUGCAGGUCCGUUGUGAAAACUGGAGGCUUAACCUCCAGACGUCGAUGGAAACCGUAUGGCUAGAGUCUGGAAGAGGAGAGUGGAAUUCCUGGUGUAGCGGUGAAAUGCGCAGAUAUCAGGAAGAACACCCGUGGCGAAGGCGGCUCUCUGGGACGGUACUGACGCUGAGACGCGAAAGCGUGGGGAGCGAACAGGAUUAGAUACCUUGGUAGUCCACGCCGUAAACGAUGGGUGCUAGGUGUGGGAGGUGUCGACUCCUUCCGUGCCGCAGCUAACGCAUUAAGCACCCCGCCUGGGGAGUACGGCCGCAAGGCUA